rnacentral:rRNA from 1 species
UACGAAGGGGGCUAGCGUUGCUCGGAAUCACUGGGCGUAAAGGGUGCGUAGCGGGUCUUUAAGUCAGGGGUGAAAUCCUGGAGCUCAACUCCAGAACUGCCUUUGAUACUGAAGAUCUUGAGUUCGGGAGAGGUGAGUGGAACUGCGAGUGUAGAGGUGAAAUUCGUAGAUAUUCGCAAGAACACCAGUGGCGAAGGCGGCUCACUGGCCCGAUACUGACGCUGAGGCACGAAAGCGUGGGGAGCAAACAGG